GCAGGACCAUCCCCAACUACAUCAUCCCAGCCAAAGGUUUGCCUAGCCAGACCUUAAAAACCUCCAAGGAUGGCGAGUCCACCACCUCGCUGGGUAAUCUGUCCCAGUGCUUCAUCACCCUCCUAGUGAGAAAUUUCUUCAUAA